UUUCUUUUCUUUUUUGAAUCUGGACAUCUUCGUGACACGGCCCAGGGCCUGGGCCCAAUAAAAGCACGACACGGCACUGAGCAGGUGCGUAAACGCUUUCAGAAGGCGGAAAAUGCCCCUCUCUCCUUCUCUUCGGAUCUCUGCGACCUCUCCCUCCAUGGCCGCCAAGAGGAAGCCCGGCAGGUCGCCGCCGGCGGAGGCGAAUGCGAAGGAAGACGACGCCGAGGGCCUCUUCUCCUCGCGCUCCCUCGCCGACGCCGGCCUCCACCACCCCACCCUCUGCACCCGCCUCCGAGGAGGCUCCCAUCUGAUCUGAGCAAGUAGCAAAGGUAGGAAAGCACACACCUUGGUUAUUGAGCAGCAGCAUCAGAUCCAAUGCUUUGAGAGAAUGGUUGUUCCAUCAGAUUCAGUGCUUUGAGAGAAUGGUUGUUCCUCAUCAGAUCCAAUGGUUGUGGUGGUGUGAAGUAAGUUUGUUGUUCCUCUUGUUCCUUGUGGCUUUGUUCCCAACGUCAGCCAUGGUGAUUGUGACAGAGAAUGAGUCCAGAUUACAAGCAAUUAUCCUGUCGAUUAGUUCUAGGCCCGGCGGUGUAUCAGAGGCAUAAAAAAGUGUUUAUUAGGAACGCUUUCCUGGGCUUCAACAUUAUUAAAGUUCCUAAUUGAAUAGUUAAAACAAAUCUGAGGUAAU